rnacentral:tRNA from 1 species
GGCUUCAUAGCUCAGUGGUAGAGUGUUUGCACCGGAAUCGCAAAGGUCAUGGGUUUGAAUCCCAUUGGAGCCU